AGAAGGCUUCCACGGCUUUGGUCGUUCGGGGGCCUUUUUCUUUUAC
rnacentral:antisense_RNA from 1 species